GACAGAGGCCCCAAGCGUUAGGCGGAAUCACUGGGCUUAAAGCGUGUGUAGGCGGACGCCUAAGUGUCUUGUGAAAUCCCACGGCUCACCCGUGGAACUGCUGGGCAUACUGGGCGUUUCGUCGGACCAUAGGGCGAGCCGGAACAAGCGGUGGAGCGGUGAAAUGCGUAGAGAUCAGCAGGAAUACCCGUGGCGAAGGCGGCCCCCUGGGCCGAACCUGACGCUGAGGCGCGAAGGCUAGGGGAGCGAACGGG
rnacentral:rRNA from 1 species